CCAAUAGCGUAUAUUAAAGUUGUUGCAGUUAAAAAGCUCGUAGUUGAAUUUUGGAUUCUACCAUUUGGUCCAUCUUUUAGAUGAGUACUGAAUGUGUGGGGUCUAUCCGCCUGAUAAUACGUAAUGUUCUUUAUUGAAUGUUACGGGUAGUCAGGACUUUUACCUUGAAAAAAUUAGAGUGUUUAAAGCAGGCUUAUGCCGGAAUACAUUAGCAUGGAAUAAUAGAAUAGGACGAAGUUGUUUUAUUUUGUUGGUUUUUAGGACAACCGUAAUGAUUAAUAGGGAUAGUUGGGGGCAUUAGUAUUCAAUUGUCAGAGGUGAAAUUCUUGGAUUUAUUGAAGACUAACUACUGCGAAAGCAUUUGCCAAGGAUGUUUUCAUUAAUCAAGAACGAAAGUUAGGGGAUCGAAGACGAUCAGAUACCGUCGUAGUCUUAACCAUAAACUAUGCCGACUAGGGAUCGGGCGAUGUUGUUUCCAUGACUCGCUCGGCACCUUAUG
rnacentral:rRNA from 1 species